rnacentral:rRNA from 1 species
CCUACGGGUGGCAGCAGUGGGGAAUAUUGCACAAUGGGGGAAACCCUGAUGCAGCGACGCCGCGUGAAGGAAGAAGUAUUUCGGUAUGUAAACUUCUAUUAUCAGGGAAGAAAAUGACGGUACCUUAUUAAGAAGCCCCGGCUAACUACGUGCCAGCAGCCGCGGUAAUACGUAGGGGGCAAGCGUUAUCCGGAUUGACUGGGUGUAAAGGGUGCGUAGGCGGAUUAGCAAGUUAGAGGUAAAAGUCCGGGGCCAAACACCGGGACUGCUUUUGAAACUGUUGAACUAGAUUGCAGGAGAGGUAAGUGGAAUUCCUAGUGUAGCGGUGAAAUGCGUAGAUAUGAGAAGGAACACCAAUGGCGAAGGCAGCUUACUGGAAUGUAAAUGACGCUGAGGCUCGAAAGCGUAGGGAGCAAACAGGAUUAGAUACCCGUGUAGUC